rnacentral:rRNA from 1 species
UAAUCAUUUGUCUAUUAACUGUAGACCUGUAUGAAAGGCAAAAUGAGGGCUCAACUGUCUCUUAUAAUAAAUCUAUUAAACUGAUCUUCUAGUAAAAAAGCUAGAAUACCACCAUAAGACCAGAAGACCCUGUGAAGCUUAAACUAAAAUAUUAAACCCAAUAAUAACUACUUUCGGUUGGGGCGACCUUGGAAAUAAAAAGAACUUCCAAAAAACAUGUAAUACCACAUACAACCACAGGCCCACAAGCCAUUAAAUGACCCAGACAUCUGAUAAUUGAACAAAGUUACUCCAGGGAUAACAGCGCCAUCUUCUUCAAGAGCCCAUAUCAAAAAGAAGGUUUACGACCUCGAUGUUGGAUCAGGACACCCCAAUGGUGCAGCCGCUAUUAAAGGUU